GUCCAGGGGCGGGAAUCGAAACCACAACGUUCCGCUUACCGGGCAGAUGCCAUGUCCACUAGGCUACCCUGGA
rnacentral:tRNA from 1 species